rnacentral:ncRNA from 1 species
GCUCGGGACAAAUGCUUGCAUUUGAACGUUGGCUUUGCCAACGGCUCCGAAGGAGCGAGCGUAGCGAGUAUUGGGUGGAGAAAAUCCGUA